ACGCUCGACACCUACGGGAGACAGCAGUGGGGAAUAUUGCACAAUGGGGGAAACCCUGAUGCAGCGACGCCGCGUGAAGGAUGAAGUAUUUCGGUAUGUAAACUUCUAUCAGCAGGGAAGAAAAUGACGGUACCUGACUAAGAAGCCCCGGCUAACUACGUGCCACAGCCGCGGUAAUCUGAGCGGGCUGGCAAGGC
rnacentral:rRNA from 1 species